UCACUUUUCUUUUCUUUUCUUCUUUUUCAUUUUUCUCUCAAACACUCUUCUCACUCCUCACACUCUCUCACUGGUGCCACUCCAUACUGCCAUUUCCACCAUCAUUUUUCUGGCAAGAUCACUGGAAAACCCUUAGGAACCUCUAAGCACCUUCAUAUGUCUUAUCUGAGGUUCUAGCUAAUCUCCUUUGGAGUUUGGAGAAUUAGGCUUUUUGCGGGUUGCAAGUCUUUGUGACACAGAAUCAUAUUAGGUCAGUGCCCUUUCAUUUUGGAUGACGUGUUUUUCCCUGCUGCCCAUGGGGGAAGAGGUUACUAAAUUAUGUGUGGGUGAGGUUGCUGCCCAUGGGGCCAAGAGACUGCACAUCAGGGAGGACAAUAUCAUGCCAGUUGUGAAUGGGUGGAUCCCUUGACUGGUCUAUGUAAUAGUGUGGUGUAUUUGUGAUAAAUUACCUUAUGUAAGAUUUUAAUGGCUUUGGAAUUAUAUUCUUAGUACUCACAGAUUAUAGUAUUUAUUUUGAGAAA